GUGGGGAAUCUUCCGCAAUGGACGAAAGUCUGACGGAGCAACGCCGCGUGAACGAUGACGGCCUUCGGGUUGUAAAGUUCUGUUAUACGGGACGAAUGGUACGACGGUCAAUACCCGUCGUAAGUGACAGUACCGUAAGAGAAAGCCACGGCUAACUACGUGCCAGCAGCCGCGGUAAUACGUAGGUGGCAAGCGUUGUCCGGAAUUAUUGGGCGUAAAGGGCGCGCAGGCGGCGUCGUAAGUCGGUCUUAAAAGUGCGGGGCUUAACCCCGUGAGGGGACCGAAACUGCGAUGCUAGAGUAUCGGAGAGGAAAGCGGAAUUCCUAGUGUAGCGGUGAAAUGCGUAGAUAUUAGGAGGAACACCAGUGGCGAAAGCGGCUUUCUGGACGACAACUGACGCUGAGGCGCGAAAGCCAGGGGAGCAAACGGGAUUAGAUACCCGGGUAGUCC
rnacentral:rRNA from 1 species